rnacentral:rRNA from 1 species
CGUUUGUGUGUUACAAGUGUCACACAAUACCGCCGGUAUUAAGUCGGAGGAAGGUGCGGAUGACGUCAAGUCAGCAUGACCUUUAUAUCCAGGGCUACACACACGCUACAAUGGUCAGCACAAUAGGUUGCCAAGUCGUGAGACGGAGCCAAUCCUCCAAGCUGGCCUCAGUUCAGAUUGUAGGCUGCAACCCGCCUGCAUGAAGUUGGAGUUGCUAGUAACCGCAGGUCAGCUAUACUGCGGUGAAUACGUUCCCGGGGAUU